ACGGGGUGCCAUGAAGGAAUUUCGGUCACGGAUUGGGUUACUUAGUGGCGGACGGGUGAGUAACGCGUGAGGAACCUGCCUUUCAGAGGGGGACAACAGUUGGAAACGACUGCUAAUACCGCAUAACAUGUAGGUGUCGCAUGGCAUUUACAUCAAAGAUUUAUCGCUGAGAGAUGGCCUCGCGUCUGAUUAGCUAGUUGGUAGGGUAACGGCCUACCAAGGCGACGAUCAGUAGCCGGACUGAGAGGUUGGCCGGCCACAUUGGGACUGAGAUACGGCCCAGACUCCUACGGGAGGCAGCAGUGGGGAAUAUUGGGCAAUGGGCGCAAGCCUGACCCAGCAACGCCGCGUGAAGGAAGAAGGCUUUCGGGUUGUAAACUUCUUUUGUCAGGGAAGAGUAGAAGACGGUACCUGACGAAUAAGCCACGGCUAACUACGUGCCAGCAGCCGCGGUAAUACGUAGGUGGCAAGCGUUGUCCGGAUUUACUGGGUGUAAAGGGCGUGUAGCCGGGUUGACAAGUCAGAUGUGAAAUCCUGCGGCUUAACCGCAGAACUGCAUUUGAAACUGUUGAUCUUGAGUACUGGAGAGGCAGACGGAAUUCCUAGUGUAGCGGUGAAAUGCGUAGAUAUUAGGAGGAACACCAGUGGCGAAGGCGGUCUGCUGGACAGCAACUGACGGUGAGGCGCGAAAGCGUGGGGAGCAAACAGGAUUAGAUACUCUGGUAGUCCACGCUGUAAACGAUGGAUACUAGGUGUGCGGGGACUGACCCCUUGCGUGCCGCAGCUAACGCAAUAAGUAUCCCACCUGGGGAGUACGAUCGCAAGGUUGAAAACUCAAGGAAUUGACGGGGGCCCGCACAAGCGGUGGAUUAUGUGGUUUAAUUCGAUGCAACGCGAAAGACCUUACCANGGCUUGACAUCCUACUAACG
rnacentral:rRNA from 1 species